CGAACGAGCGAGAGGAGGUUACUUUCUCAAGCGAGUGGCGAACGGGUGAGUAACGCGUGAGGAACCUGCCUCAAAGAGGGGGACAACAGUUGGAAACGACUGCUAAUACCGCAUAAGCCCACGACCCGGCAUCGGGUAGAGGGAAAAGGAGCAAUCCGCUUUGAGAUGGCCUCGCGUCCGAUUAGCUAGUUGGUGAGGUAAUGGCCCACCAAGGCGACGAUCGGUAGCCGGACUGAGAGGUUGAACGGCCACAUUGGGACUGAGACACGGCCCAGACUCCUACGGGAGGCAGCAGUGGGGAAUAUUGCACAAUGGGGGAAACCCUGAUGCAGCGACGCCGCGUGGAGGAAGAAGGUCUUCGGAUUGUAAACUCCUGUUGUUGAGGAAGAUAAUGACGGUACUCAACAAGGAAGUGACGGCUAACUACGUGCCAGCAGCCGCGGUAAAACGUAGGUCACAAGCGUUGUCCGGAAUUACUGGGUGUAAAGGGAGCGCGGGCGGGAAGACAAGUUGGAAGUGAAAUCCAUGGGCUCAACCCAUGAACUGCUUUCAAAACUGUUUUUCUUGAGUAGUGCAGAGGUAGGCGGAAUUCCCGGUGUAGCGGUGGAAUGCGUAGAUAUCGGGAGGAACACCAGUGGCGAAGGCGGCCUACUGGGCACCAACUGACGCUGAGGCUCGAAAGUGUGGG
rnacentral:rRNA from 1 species